rnacentral:rRNA from 1 species
UACGGAGGAUGCGAGCGUUAUCCGGAUUUAUUGGGUUUAAAGGGUGCGUAGGCGGGAUGCCAAGUCAGCGGUAAAAAUGCGGUGCUCAACGCCGUCGAGCCGUUGAAACUGGCGUUCUUGGGUGGGCGAGAAGUAUGCGGAAUGCGUGGUGUAGCGGUGAAAUGCAUAGAUAUCACGCAGAACUCCGAUUGCGAAGGCAGCAUGCCGGCGCCCUACUGACGCUGAGGCACGAAAGCGUGGGUAUCGAACAGG